GACCACACUGGGACCACCCCGACCUCAGUCAGAACUCGAAGACCCUCACCUACUGUGGCAGAGCCCUGUCUGGAGAGAAGGAAGCUGGUACUGACUGUCCAGAUGCCUCCUGCCCCAGAGCCCCAAAGAAGCAGGCCACCCACCGACUCAUGGCGAGAAAUGUCACCCUGAAGCUGGGCUGAGUGCAGAAGGCCUCGGGGCCCUGGGCGUGCAGUCCAUUGCCAGGUAGAGCAGCAGCCCAAUGGAGAACGCUGGACAGCAGCAGGCAACUCCCAGGAGGCAGCUGGCUCUGGGCUCUCCAGGGGAACCAGGACUUUGGCCUCAGCUGCUCCUAUGUCACCCACCUUCCCCAGGAAGUGAUCCACCAUUGGGGAUGAUGUGACAGAAGGAAGAAAA